GUAGGUGAACCUGCGGAAGGAUCAUUAUCAAACGUAUCCACGUAUAAACCAAUUAUAUUAAUGUGAAAUGUCAUGAACCUUUGAUGGAUCAGAUGAUUGCUGUACUUACUCUUGCACUUGAUUAAAGCAUGAGAGUAGUAUGGACCUGGGAUUAGCGUAACUGCUUGUUCCCUAGCUCUGAUUUAUCGAAGUGUAAUUAUCUUUAAUUUAAUCAACUAUUAACCCAUUGAACCGAUUAACUAUUUAUUAU
rnacentral:misc_RNA from 1 species